rnacentral:lncRNA from 1 species
ACACCCACGCUGAGAUCUGCACAUACACGCACAGAGAAGAAAACACAAAACUCAACACGCAAUAUACGAAAAAACGAGAAAGAGACGAACUCGUUAGUGAUCCGAUCCGUCCUUGGUACACAGGAUUUGAUUUUCAAAAACAAGAAACAACGGCAUACUACAACAGAGAGAACAAAAACGAAACACAACAAUUCCCACACCCACCCACACAAAAAAUCCCACACCAGCUCACUGAGACCUGCAUACUUCCGGAAUAAAA